rnacentral:snoRNA from 1 species
AGCGACUCUACUUCAAAGAAUCACUUCAUUAGUAGACGUCUUCCGCUGUUUUUUCGAAAAUAGCCACAUAUCCCACCCUUGCUGAUGACCUCCAUGUCCUCGAUACCCUAAAGUGAAAUUUUGUUGGCAUUCUGUUUUUUAGCAGUUUGUCCGUUUACUCCCGCCUCGAGAUUUUUGGUGUUGAGCUUUUCUUGUUGUCUUCACGGAUAUACAGAAACGCGCACGCUUUUUUUUCUCCAGGGAGUGGUGAUGAUCUUUACCUUGUUUUGGCGUCUUGACUUCGGUCGGCUGGACUUGGUGGGUGUCGAGGAGGUCUGAAAGGC